UCCAGACUCCUACGGGAGGCAGCAGUGGGGGAUAUUGCACAAUGGGGGAAACCCUGAUGCAGCGACGCCGCGUGGGUGAAGAAGCGCCUCGGCGCGUAAAGCCCUGUCAGCAGGGAAGAAAAUGACAGUACCUGAAGAAGAAGCCCCGGCUAACUACGUGCCAGCAGCCGCGGUAAUACGUAGGGGGCAAGCGUUAUCCGGAUUUACUGGGUGUAAAGGGAGCGUAGACGGCAAUACAAGUCGGAAGUGAGAUACCCGGGCUUAACCUGGGAACUGCUUUGGAAACUGUAUGGCUGGAGUGCUGGAGAGGUAAGCGGAAUUCCUAGUGUAGCGGUGAAAUGCGUAGAUAUUAGGAGGAACACCAGUGGCGAAGGCGGCUUACUGGACAGUAACUGACGUUGAGGCUCGAAAGCGUGGGGAGCAAACAGGAUUAGAUACCCUAGUAC
rnacentral:rRNA from 1 species